CACAGUGCUAAUUGUGACGCUAACACACAUUUUUGGAUAUAGAGCUUUCAUUGUAAUGUGUACUAGUGUUUGUCUGUUUGUCUUUGUAAGCCAUGGCGUUGUCAGUUUUUUUUUAUCUAUGCAUUUGACUAUCUGGUUUCUUUUGCCCCUCUUUUCUAGAAAAUAGUCCCAUACUUGCCGCCAAAUUAAAAAUAGCCACCAAUAGGCAAUAUGUCAGGUCCAAUAUAUUGGUGAACUUAAUAACUUUAUAGUAACAACAGGAAUU
rnacentral:lncRNA from 1 species